AUUGAACGCUAGCGGCAUGCCUAACACAUGCAAGUCGAACGAGUGGCGGACGGGUGAGUAAUGUCUGGGAAACUGCCCGAUGGAGGGGGAUAACUACUGGAAACGGUAGCUAAUACCGCAUACCAUCGGAUCUGCCCAGAUGGGAUUAUCUAGUAGGUGGGGUAACGGCGCACCUAGGCGACGAUCCCUAGCUGGUCUGAGAGGAUGACCAGCCACACUGGAACUGAGACACGGCCCAGACUCCUACGGGAGGCAGCAGUGGGGAAUAUUGGACAAUGGGCGAAAGCCUGAUGCAGCCAUCCCGCGUGUAUGAAGAAGGCCUUCGGGUUGUAAAGUACUUUCAGCGGGGAGGCGGUAUCUGCAGAAGAAGCACCGGCUAACUACGUGCCAGCAGCCGCGGUAAUAC
rnacentral:rRNA from 1 species